AAAUCCACCUGGCUGGGCUGCAAAACUUCACCUGCACACAGUAGAAUGUUUAAAAAAGUCACCAGAUACAUUGUAAAUCAAGGGGAUUCAAGCAAACAAUCGGUCCCUGUCGAGAGCAUCACAGACAACGAGCACUUCAGACCCUUGUGUCUUCUGAUAAAAAAAAGAAAACAAAACACCAUAUUCCACUCACGUCCCUACUACCAGCGCACAGGGUUCAGACUGGACAGUGUGCUGCUGCCUGGAGAAGAUGGGAAAAGCACAGAGUCCCUCCUUCCCUCGGGAGAUGGUCCAGAUUCCAGCCAAUUCACUCUCACAAAGGUCACCGCUGACCAAGUCGAUGGGUGUCUCAGCCUUAGUGUUGACCCUGCAAGUGUGGAGCUGAAAGGAGGUGGCUCUUUGUCCCAGGCGUUUUCCAUCAAGCUGCAGAAGAAGGCCAUAUCAAUGGACUCACUGGAGGCAGUGAGAAAAAAUAG